UGUGAUUAGGUAGUGUUACUAACGUUGUCAUGGAGAUUGUAGUUUCCCUGAACGUCCUUAUUGAUAUUUUGGUCUGUAACUUUAGAUAACUUGUAACCAUGGAUGUAUAACGUCCUUGUUUAAUUAGUCCCGGUCGGGAUGAUAUAAUGUAACUAAACAAGCCGACUGGAGGAUAGUGUCUGGUUACCAUAGAGACGACUGAAACCUUUCGCCAAGCAUAAAUUGAAGUGUCAGAAGUGUCGAGCGACCAACCAUAAAUUAAGGAACCUACAUUUUAUAGGUUCCUUGCUAUAAAUCAGGAAGUGGAACACACAUUGUAUUUAAAACCAAGUGUAGUAAAUGAUAAAGUUUUUCUAGCGAGGGCAAACUAUUGGUGUGAUUCAGGUAGGACACUUCCAGGAUCUGCACUCUGCAGCGCUGCUAACGGGGGAAGGUGUCCUUUCAUCAUCACUGGAGAGAGUCAAUGAUGUAUAAACUAUCCCACCUAAAGUUACUAAUAAGAUAAGCUAUUCCAAAAGGUUGGAGCCCUGACAGUAAAAACCCUGUCAUGCUUGAUCUUCAGCCUUGAAGGGGAAUAGCUAACAGGGUCUUAUCAGAGGAUCUCAAGCUACGGGCUGUGGGUACCAAAUGCUGAGCUAGAGAGCCAAGAGGCAGAACUUGGCCAUGAGUGUGCUCAGGACCUAUAAUAAGGAUUUCCAUUGUGGAAGAGUUAAGCUGAAGAAAAUUUACUGCAAUCCAAUCCGUAACCACAGGAGUAAUUUGGGGUUCAGCAUCUUGCCCAAGGAUACUUCAACAUGCGGACUGGAGGAGCCGGGAAUCGACCUGCCCAUCUCCCGAUUAGUGGACAACCCGCUCUACCUCCUGAGCCACAGCCGCCCCAAUCAACAGGCAUGACAAAUUUUCUGUUACAAAAGUAUAAGUGGAACUACUGGUGGGCAGUCCUGGAGAUAGUAACCCAUGUCCUCAACCUUUUAAUAAUAAUGCUAUGAUCCACCAUGACAAACAUGGUGCUAAAAUCAAGAGAGAGCAGGCAUCUCACAUGGAAGACACUGCAGGUGCAUGGCUGAACUUUCCACAACACACUUUAGUUUAUGCAGUCUCUAUAAGGCCUAUGUUAAGGUGCCAUCUUGACAUAAUAUACUAAAUGUAAUAAAUAGUGAUGAAUCACAUUAGAAGCCUGCCCUGUAAAUUGUAUCUGGAUGGUUACUGAAACUGACUGAAUAUGGCACAGCCGUCACUGCUGUCAAUACACCUGCACUAGUUUGACCUUAAAUCUCUGGAAUAUAUCUAUUCAGUUCAUAUGUUGAUUAGGAAAAUGCCCUGAAGUUACCAAUGAAAUAAUCAGUAUUCCUACCUGCCUUUUCCUUCUACAAACAUCAUCUUAGUGCCAGAAUAACUUCAUCAAAUCACCUCUGAAGCUAUUUGCUGUUUUCUCGUAAUCAAAGUAAAGACAACUACAAAGCUUGCUGCUCAUUCUUAUGCUGUAAUGAAACAAUGAAUAUACAAUCGAGUACUGCGCAUAAAAUAGCAAUAACAAUUAGCCCUCUAUCUACAUCUGUCUACAUGUAAUUGAAUUACACUUUGAAUGAUACUAUAUUGCAUUUAAUAGCAAUAUUGAACAAGAAAAUCUUAGCAAAAAGACUUUAAACUCAGGGCUAGCCAGCACUGUUGAUUAUUUAAUGUUAAGUAAAGAAAGCUCACAAACAUGUAGCUACUGUUUUACUUACACUAUUUAGUUCUGGACCCCUUAUAAAAAUCUUCUCUUCAUACCUCACACUGCAGUUUACACAAGCACAAUUUCCAACAUGAUAUGACUUCGACAGCCGCACGGCUAAGCUGCUCCACUAGCUCUGCUGCAACUACAGAGAACCAGGUAGCUGAAACAGAGAGGACAGGACUUAAUUAAAUAUGAAUGAAAACAUAACAGAAAAGCAACUUUUGUUUUUAUUGUCAGGACAAAUUAAAAACUAUUA